CUGAAAGUGCACCGUGUAUAAAGUUAUAGAAAUGUUAACGAAUCCCAAGCCGUUUCAUCUUGUUGUUCUUUCGCGUUGGUCUUCAUUCCAAAGUCUCCAAAGUGUAUUCUUUAUUCAUUAUUUGCCACUAGAACCAUAGACAGUAAAAGAAAUGGACACAGCGACCCCAUUGGAACUCAAUUGAGACAAGUGAAGCCCAUUUUUAGCUAUUUUUAGCACUUCCGUUUCUGACGCGCAGACUCAAACUAAGCUUGAUGACUCGAGUGGUUAUGACGCAAUCGUUAGCCUAUUUUUACAAAAACUGUUUCUACGGGGCCAUAAUGUAACAUAGAAGGUAAUGGAGCCCUUUAUACAUUGUCGUGUAUCCUUAGAAAUAAAUAAUGAUCAAACGGAGUCUUUAAACACCUCAGAUGUAAAGUUAUUCGCUGUCAAAGUGACGCCAAAAUGAAUGGGAGUCAAUGGGAAUGCUAACGCAAGUGAAGUUCUGCUACAAGAUGGCGGCAGGCGGCCGACUUCAACUUCCGGUCGACUUC